GCGGUGGUAGCUCAGUCGGGUAAGCGCUCGCUUCUCAAGUUCUCACGCCAGAGAUGCGGGUUCGAAUCCCGGCGCUGACAUGUACUACC
rnacentral:tRNA from 1 species